rnacentral:rRNA from 2 species
UGCAGUCGAACGAACUCUGGUAUUGAUUGGUGCUUGCAUCAUGAUUUACAUUUGAGUGAGUGGCGAACUGGUGAGUAACACGUGGGAAACCUGCCCAGAAGCGGGGGAUAACACCUGGAAACAGAUGCUAAUACCGCAUAACAACUUGGACCGCAUGGUCCGAGUUUGAAAGAUGGCUUCGGCUAUCACUUUUGGAUGGUCCCGCGGCGUAUUAGCUAGAUGGUGGGGUAACGGCUCACCAUGGCAAUGAUACGUAGCCGACCUGAGAGGGUAAUCGGCCACAUUGGGACUGAGACACGGCCCAAACUCCUACGGGAGGCAGCAGUAGGGAAUCUUCCACAAUGGACGAAAGUCUGAUGGAGCAACGCCGCGUGAGUGAAGAAGGGUUUCGGCUCGUAAAACUCUGUUGUUAAAGAAGAACAUAUCUGAGAGUAACUGUUCAGGUAUUGACGGUAUUUAACCAGAAAGCCACGGCUAACUACGUGCCAGCAGCCGCGGUAAUACGUAGGUGGCAAGCGUUGUCCGGAUUUAUUGGGCGUAAAGCGAGCGCAGGCGGUUUUUUAAGUCUGAUGUGAAAGCCUUCGGCUCAACCGAAGAAGUGCAUCGGAAACUGGGAAACUUGAGUGCAGAAGAGGACAGUGGAACUCCAUGUGUAGCGGUGAAAUGCGUAGAUAUAUGGAAGAACACCAGUGGCGAAGGCGGCUGUCUGGUCUGUAACUGACGCUGAGGCUCGAAAGUAUGGGUAGCAAACAGGAUUAGAUACCCUGGUAGUCCAUACCGUAAACGAUGAAUGCUAAGUGUUGGAGGGUUUCCGCCCUUCAGUGCUGCAGCUAACGCAUUAAGCAUUCCGCCUGGGGAGUACGGCCGCAAGGCUGAAACUCAAAGGAAUUGACGGGGGCCCGCACAAGCGGUGGAGCAUGUGGUUUAAUUCGAAGCUACGCGAAGAACCUUACCAGGUCUUGACAUACUAUGCAAAUCUAAGAGAUUAGACGUUCCCUUCGGGGACAUGGAUACAGGUGGGUGCAUGGUUGUCGUCAGCUCGUGUCGUGAGAUGUUGGGUUUAAGUCCCGCAACGAGCGCAACCCUUAUUAUCAGUUUGCCAGCAUUUAAGUUGGGCACUCUGGUGAGACUGCCGGUGACAAACCCGGGAGAGGGUGGGGAUGACGUCAAUCAUCAUGCCCCUUAUGACUGGGCUAAC